rnacentral:ncRNA from 1 species
ACGGAUAAAAGUUACCUCCUAGGGAUAACAGGCUGAUCUUCCCCAAGGGUCCACAUCGACGGGAAGGUUUGGCACCUCGAUGUCGGCUCUUCGCCACCUGGAGCUGUAGGUGGUUCCAAGGGUUGGGCUGUUCGCCCAUUAAUGCGGUACGUGAGCUGGGUUCAGAACGUCGUGAGACAGUUCGGUCCAUAUCCGCUGUGGGCGUUAGAGCAUUGAGAGGACCUUUCCCUAGUACGAGAGGACCGGGAA